GACGCUGAUGAUACUAUAGGAACUGGUAUGACAAAUGUGCUUCUUAAAAAGCUGGAAGAUACAGGAAUUGCGAUAGCUGACUUGAGAGGUCAGGGCUACGAUAACAGUGCCAACAUGAGAGGGCAGAACAGAAGAGUGCAGACAUGGAUUCGAGUGUUAAACCCUCGGUUUUUUUGUCCCAUGCAGUUCUCAUUCAUUGAACUUUAUGGUCAGUGAUGCAGCAUCAGCUUCUAGUGAGGCUGCUGAAUUUGCUUAAUGUAAUUC